GAUGAAGAACGCAGCGAAAUGCGAUAAGUAAUGUGAAUUGCAGAAUUCAGUGAAUCAUCGAAUCUUUGAACGCACAUUGCGCCCGCCAGUAUUCUGGCGGGCAUGCCUGUCUGAGCGUCAUUUCAACCCUCAUGCCCCUAGGGCGUGGUGUUGGGGAUCGGCCAAAGCCCGCGAGGGACGGCCGGCCCCUAAAUCUAGUGGCGGACCCGUCGUGGCCUCCUCUGCGAAGUAGUGAUAUUCCGCAUCGGAGAGCGACGAGCCCCUGCCGUUAAACCCCCAACUUUCCAAGGUUGACCUCCGAUCAGGUAGGAAUACCCGCUGAACUUAAGCAUAUCAAUAAGCGGAGGA
rnacentral:misc_RNA from 1 species